CGCCGCCUGCGGUGUACGACAGGUGUCGGGUUACCUCUCGACCCUAACGUUAAUACCCACGGGGUUCGGUCUCACGCCGGCAUUGUGCAUGUCCGUCUUCGACGGGAAGCCUGAGCUGUCGUGGCUGCACCCCACCUAUUGCUCCGUGUCGAGAGCAAUGGCACCACCGGCACAGGCGGGGGGCGC
rnacentral:other from 1 species